rnacentral:tRNA from 1 species
GUUCUUAUAGUGUAUAGUUUUCAGCACAUUAGAUUUUCAAUUUUUUAGAACACUAUUAAGUGUUAAGAAUA